ensembl:lncRNA
CUGAAAAUUAGCUUUCAAAGGGUUUGAGAUGAUGCUGUUUGAAGGACCUGAGCUUUUAUAUCUGCAAGAAGGGAUCUGUGAACCAGCAAACAGAGACAAUCCGAGGCUGGGAAUGAAUCUUCUCUCUGUCCUCCUGAUACCCUACUACAGCAUGAGCAUCUUGGCCAGCUGCAGCUUCUGUUUACUGUUCCACAAACCCUUGGAGUACUGGAGUAGUUGCUAAGCUAUCAGCAAGAGCUGGAAAAGCUGG